GGAGAUGUUACAAUAGUUACAAAUAGAACAAGAAUUGUGGAUUUUACACAGCCCUACAUGGAAUCAGGACUUGUUGUAGUUGCUGCUGUCAAGGAAGAAAAGUCUAGCCCUUGGGCAUUCCUCAAGCCAUUUACUGUACAAAUGUGGUGUGUCACUGGUGCCUUCUUUCUUUUUGUGGGUGCUGUUGUCUGGAUUCUUGAGCACCGGAUUAAUCAUGAAUUUCGUGGUCCACCAAGCCAACAGCUUAUCACAAUAUUCUGGUUUAGUUUCUCAACAAUGUUCUUCUCCCACAGAGAGAACACUGCAAGCACACUGGGACGUAUGGUACUGAUCAUAUGGCUAUUUGUUGUGUUGAUUAUCAAUUCAAGCUAUACAGCCG
rnacentral:misc_RNA from 1 species